UCAGGUCUGAGGGCAAAAUGUCCUCUCUUCUAAAAGGGCCUCGCACUUACUGCACACCCAGCCGUCCCGCACUGGUGGAGGUUAGCACAGACUGCAUUCCGUUUUACAUUCCUGGCCUGCCCUCCCUGUUGUCUGCUUCUGUGGCUGGAAUGCGGGCCCAGGUCACCCAGAGCUGCAGCUGCCCGUGGUUUAAUAGCUGUAGAGUGAACAGGUUUUGACGCCUGAGAUGGCCUUUCCAUGCAGAGGGCAGCAGUACAGUUUCCUCUUGAAGGCCGUCUAAAAAGGUCUCGGGAAAUGAGUUCAAGUGAAAUAGAAGUUCAAGUGAAAUGCAAGGUCAGUAGUACUACAGAGGUGGGAGGGGGCAGUCUUGAAGGAGGUGUCCACUGAC
rnacentral:lncRNA from 1 species